rnacentral:rRNA from 1 species
GACGAACGCUGGCGGCGUGCUUAACACAUGCAAGUCGAACGGAAAGGCCUCUUUCGGGGGGUACUCGAGUGGCGAACGGGUGAGUAACACGUGAGUAACCUGCCCUUGACUUUGGGAUAACUUCAGGAAACUGGGGCUAAUACCGGAUAGGAGCUCCUGCUGCAUGGUGGGGGUUGGAAAGUUUCGGCGGUUGGGGAUGGACUCGCGGCUUAUCAGCUUGUUGGUGGGGUAGUGGCUUACCAAGGCUUUGACGGGUAGCCGGCCUGAGAGGGUGACCGGCCACAUUGGGACUGGGAUACGGCCCAGACUCCUACGGGAGGCAGCAGUGGGGAAUAUUGCACAAUGGGUGGAAGCCUGAUGCAGCAACGCCGUGUGCGGGAUGACGGCCUUCGGGUUGUAAACCGCUUUCGCUCACGACGAAGCUUUGUGUGACGGUAGUGGGUAAAGAAGCACCGGCUAACUACGUG